AUUGAACGCUGGCGGCAUGCUUUACACAUGCAAGUCGAACGGCAGCGCGGGGGCAACCCUGGCGGCGAGUGGCGAACGGGUGAGUAAUGUAUCGGAACGUAUCCUGUAAUGGGGGAUAACCAGUCGAAAGAUUGGGUAAUACCGCAUACGCACGAGAGUGGAAAGUAGGGGAUCGCAAGACCUUACGUUAUAGGAGCGGCCGAUAUCUGAUUAGCUAGUUGGUGGGGUAAAGGCCUACCAAGGCGACGAUCAGUAGCUGGUCUGAGAGGACGACCAGCCACACUGGGACUGAGACACGGCCCAGACUCCUACGGGAGGCAGCAGUGGGGAAUUUUGGACAAUGGGCGAAAGCCUGAUCCAGCCAUGCCGCGUGCAGGAAGAAGGCCUUCGGGUUGUAACUGCUUUAGUCUAGAAAAGGGUGCGAGGUUAAUACCUCGUGCUUUGAUGGUACUGGAAGAAUAAGCACCGGCUAACUACGUGCCAGCAGCCGCGGUAAUACC
rnacentral:rRNA from 1 species